GAGAGAGAGAGAGAGAGAGAGAGAGAGAGAUUAGAGAAAAAACUUUUCCGAACUUCGGAUUCCGCCUUCAGUUGCAGACUUCAGAGUCACCGUGAUCAUGCAAGCCUUUCACAUCACGUGAGGAUCAAGGGCUCAAUUGGUUGUCGUGAGAACAAAAAUGGUGACAAGCGUAUCAAGAAAAUACUGAUCUGGUCUUUAAAAAAAAAAAAACUGAAGGUCUCUCCCUCCCCCCCCACG